rnacentral:lncRNA from 1 species
CCAUAUAAUGCAUAUAGAAAAAGAUGAGAUUUUUGCUUGCUGUAAAUCUUUUCUGGUGUAUUUAAAAGUGUUAUGUGACAUUUUCUUUUUGCCAUUUUCAUUAUUUUCAGAGGGAACUUGUUGCCUUGAGGAGAACCAGGAGGAGUGUGAACCUCCUCUGCACUAAGGCAAGCCAUCACAAAUAUUUGCAAGAGUGUCAUUUCAAUAAGUAUGAUUUUCACUUGAAUAUGGUCCCAUAUAAUGCAUAUAGAAAAUUAAAUAAUAUAACUUGUGCUAGUUUCAUUUCCGUGCUAUGCUUGUAAUGUUUUCAGUGUUAUUUAAGUUGUUUGGUUAAGGUUAUGCAGUAGGGUAACAUGAUCAUGAGCACGAGUAAGUUCAUACCGGUAUUAUGUUGAAAUGGUGCAUAUAUAUAGGUCAUUGCAUUUUCAUGGCAUACUAUGACUCAGAAAUAAUUCUUUGCAAGUUGAAACCUAAUAAUAAUCCAACUUGAACAUGUUGUUGAUCGAGUCAUGGUGUCACCGAAUCGAGCUUCCCAGUGCAACCACAUGUGCCUUUAUGGGGAGGCCCUUUCUCGUUCUGUUGUUAUGCCUCUCGCCGGUGCCUCCAACUAGGGAAGGUUAUGCGCUUGCGCUACCCUGGCCUGGUAGGCAGGCAUAGCCUUGUGUGCUCGUAGUUGAUUUGGUACCAUUAUCUCCAUUUGGGAUCGUUUGUUUUGCCACGACGGUGGUCGUUGGGUGUCAUGAGGUGACAUCGGGGCCACCCAGGACUUAGCCCAAAGGGGAGUUGGUCGGAGUGGCUGGGAGAGUGUCAUGGCAAUAGAUUGGUUCUGUUGGAACGUCGUUGGUCCACCCUAAUGGGAGUUCGAGGCAAUGGGUUCUGUGGUGUAGGUAUAAUGUACUACCUAUGCAGAGUGUGUUUAAUCUAUCGAUAGAUGCAUCCUCGGUCAUGGACACAAUUCAUAGUAGGUCACACCGUGGAUCAACAGAAAUACUGAACCUGCACACUAAAGUUAUACUUGUGGCACUUGUUAUGUUGGUGGAGUUGUUGAGACCGUCAAGAUGGUUUCUUUUGUGAUCCGGAGGUGAUCACCGUGGUAAGAUGUUCAUGGUUCCGAGGUAACCAAGAUGGUAAGCGGGUCUGAGAGACUCCGUUUGCGGGCACGGUCACUUCAUGAGUAGCAUGCUUAGUUCUUGCAUUGAACCUGCUUAAAUAUCAUGUUGUUGUUUGCCAUUGUUGCUUUAUUUGUGUGAGCUUGUGAGUACAUUCAAAGUACUUACCUGGCGUGUCAUGCUAGUUUCAGGAGAAGUCAUACCGUAGUUGGAGUUGCAUCGUUGCAUCGCAGUCUAGACCGUGUCCACAUCGGUGUCCUUGUGAGAUGGAGUUCCUCUACGUCGUCGUUCCGCUGCCGCGUAGCUUUAUUGUCGUGCUCGAGGUCCCUAUCAUGUUCAUUAAAUAAUGUACAUAUGUGCAACAGCACCGUGUGUGCCGCUUGGCCUCGCUAUCUGAUGUACUAUCAAACCUAUGCUUCAAUAAAGUGGUUGUCUUUCUGUACCAA